rnacentral:misc_RNA from 1 species
GAAAAACUGAAAACAUCUUGAAGAGAAAAUUUAAUAAAUAUCUACUGCGUUUUAUAAUGGGUGAUGAUGAUUACUGACAUUAUGAGGAAUUCAUUGCUUCUGAAUAUACACUCUUAUUUUAUGAUAUAACAAGUUAAAUCUGAGAUUUAAUUAUUCAAACAGCAAGAAAGGUCCAUAGAAAUAUUUUGAUUGAUGCCGUAGGUUUUCUUCUUGAGUGUCAAGAGCAAUAGAACCAUUGUAAUUUAAUCAAGUGGGUAAAAUGUGUUUUCUUAGCUUGUCUCACUUAGACACGUACUAUAAUCCAACUCUGAACAGCAAGGGAUUUGUUGGUUGGUUAGGAAGCUUGUUCUUGUUGUGCUUCUGUCCAGGGUUUAAGCUGCCCAUAAAAAAUUAACUGCCAUUCGGGCCUUCUGACCUUCCAUCAUUAUCUUUACCAAGAAGAUUCAAUG